rnacentral:rRNA from 1 species
AUUGAACGCUGGCGGCAGGCUUAACACAUGCAAGUCGAGCGGGGAGAUGUAGCUUGCUACAUUUCCUAGCGGCGGACGGGUGAGUAAUGCUUAGGAAUCUGCCUAUUAGUGGGGGACAACGUUUCGAAAGGAACGCUAAUACCGCAUACGCCCUACGGGGGAAAGCAGGGGAUCUUCGGACCUUGCGCUAAUAUAUGAGCCUAAGUCAGAUUAGCUAGUUGGUGGGGUAAAGGCCUCCCAAGGCGACGAUCUGUAGCGGGUCUGAGAGGAUGAUCCGCCACACGGGGACGUAGACACGGCCCAGAGUCCUCCGGGAGGCAGCAGUGGGGAAUAUGGGACAAUGGGGGGAACGCUGAUCCAGCCAUGCCGCGUGUGUGAAGAAGGCCUUUUGGUUGUAAAGCACUUUAAGCGAGGAGGAGGCUCUUCUAGUUAAUACCUAGGAUGAGUGGACGUUACUCGCAGAAUAAGCACCGGCUAACUCUGUGCCAGCAGCCGCCGUAAGAC